UACGGGGGGGGCAAGCGUUGUUCGGAAUUACUGGGCGUAAAGGGCUCGUAGGUGGCCAACUAAGUCAGACGUGAAAUCCCCAGGCUCAACUUGGGAACUGCGUCUGAUACUGGAUGGCUUGAAUUCGGGAGAGGGAUGCAGAAUUCCAGGUGUAGCGGUGAAAUGCGUAGAUAUCUGGAGGAAUACCGGUGGCGAAGGCGGCCCCCUGGUUGGAUACUGACGCUGAUACGCGAAAGCGUGGGGAGCAAACAGG
rnacentral:rRNA from 1 species